rnacentral:lncRNA from 1 species
GAGGGUGGAUGAGGAGCCUUUGGGCUUUGGGAGGGACUUUGGGCUCGAGGUUUUACCCAAGCCUGGACUCCUGAGGUUGGGAUUGUCUCCACCCCCCGGUCAGGAGCACCCAGGGGGAAUUCCCCGCAUCCCAAACCCCCAAAUCCCUGUUUUUGUCCCCAAUUGCAGCGGCCGCAGCCGAGUACACGACCGUGUAUGCCGAGGUGGGCGCCUCCCAGCCGCGCGUCCCUAAGGGAACGAAAGCCAAGCCAGCAGACGGGGGAUCCCCCAAAACCAUUUAUUCCCUGGUCAAGCGUCCGGAGCAGGUGAGCUGGGAGACGCCGGGGUGGGGGAUGGAACCCCUGGAGCUGGGAUGGGGACGGAGCGGCCCAGAGCCUUAAACCAAAGCCCCGGAUCUCCAUCCGAGGCUGGGAUCAGAUCCCAAACCGAGCUCGUGUCCCUCUGUCCUCGCAGGCGGAUGAUGGGACGGCAGAAAAUGCCACCAUGACCGGCCUGGAACUGGUCUAGAAGGACCUGGGACUGGUCCAGAAGGACCUGGGACUGGUCCAGAAGGACCUCAAACUGGACUAGAUGGACCCAGGACUGGCUUAAAGAACACGAAACUGUUUUAAAGGAUAUAAAACUGGUUUAAAGGAUAUAAAACCAGUUUAAAGGAUAUAAAACUGGUUUCAGAACACGAAACUGGCUUAAAAAAUCUGGAAGUGCUUUAAAAGUCUGCAGCUAUUUUAAUGAGUCUGGACCUGGUUCACAAGAAACCACAACUGGUUUAGAUGAAGCUGGAAGUGGUUGAAAAGAUCCAGAACUGGUUGAAAAGACCCGGAAUCGGUUGAAAAGACCCAGAACUGGUUGAAAAGGCCCAGAACUGGUUGAAAAGAUCCAGAACUGGUUGAAAAGACCCAGAACUGGUUGAAAAGACCCAGAACUGGUUGAAAAGACCCGGAACUGGUUGAAAAGAUCCAGAACUGGUUGAAAAGAUCCAGAACUUGUUGAAAAGACCCAGAACUGGUUGAAAAGACCCAGAACUGGUUGAAAAGACCCAGAACUGGUUCAAAAGACCCAGAACUGGUUGAAAAGACCCGGAACUGGUUGAAAAGACCCAGAACUGGUUGAAAAGACCCGGAACUGGUUGAAAAGACCCAGAACUGGUUGAAAAGACCCAGAACUGGUUGAA